rnacentral:rRNA from 1 species
AAUGAACGUUGGCGGCGUGGAUUAGGCAUGCAAGUCGAGCGAGAACCCGCAAGGGGGACAGCGGCAAACGGGGUAGUAAUGUGUCGGAACGUGCCCUCUGGACGGGGAUAGCGGCGGGAAACUGCCGGUAAUACCCGAUGAACUCGAGAGAGCAAAGGUGUGAUUCCGCCGGAGGAGCGGCCGACAUGGUAUUAGCCAGUUGGCGGGGUAACGGCCCACCAAGGCUGUGAUGCCUAGGGGAUGUGAGAGCAUGAUCCCCACCAUUGGGACUGAGACACUGCCCAGACACCUACGGGUGGCUGCAGUCGAGAAUCUUCGUCAAUGGGCGAAAGCCUGAACGAGCGACGCCGCGUGCGGGAUGAAGGCCCUUGGGUUGUAAACCGCUGUCGAGGGGGAUGAAAGCAUUCAGGUACUCCUGAAUGUUUGACAGAGCCCUGGAGGAAGCACGGGCUAAGUUCGUGCCAGCAGCCGCCGUAAGAC